AAAAAAAUAAUAAUUCUGUUAUAUGAAUAAUUUAUAGUGGGAAAAGAUGAGCAUAAACUUUUGCAAGACAAGCUAAUUAACUUUUGCACUCCGGCUAUUGCAUGGACAGUUUUUAAGCAAUUUUCAAUAUUGAGAAAUAAAAGAUCAUGUUUUAAGCGUAACAUGUCUAGCUCUAAAUAUUAUGGAACCACCUAAUUAUGAUUUUGUUUGUCCUUUUAUACCUCCCGCUGUACAUGUUAUUUCCUUGACACACCCAGUACCUUCGCCAAUGUCUGUGAUUAUCAAGCCCAUCCAAGAAGAUCGUUUUGAUAUUCCAGAGGUUCCAAUGGAGGAGGACUAAUUAGUUGUUGUAUGGAUCUGGUCAUUGCUGUUUUUUGUUUUUUGGAGAGAACAAGAGUUUGGACUUGCAGUCAUCUUGAAUCAGUGGGUGGCUUUGCAGCUAUAGUAUUACAGUAUUGUUGGAUGGUAUAUUAUAUUGAAAGUUUUGCUUUGAGGUUGACACAUGGAAAUUCACUGGAUCUACUUAGAACAGUAUCAUUUUCCAUUAGAGUAGCAAAAAUGCAAAAUAUAAUUCAACAUGUUGAAGGCAAAAUUACUAUAAUUUUUUUUCUAAUUUUUAGCAUCAGUUUUCUUUUAUUACCAUUUUGAAGGAUAUAUUAUUAGUCCCUAGGGUGGCAGGCAGGUGGCUCCACAUUGUGUUACUGCUACCGCCAAUUUUGGUCCAUAACUUGAAUAUUGUUAUUUGUUAAAUGUUAUUUAUAUUUUACUUCUAGGCAAAUACAGCGAUAGAUGAGUGUUUGUCCAAAACUCCAAAUGCUGAAGUUGUAAUUAAUUGAAUUUUUGCAUGGCAUUGACCGUGCUGAUAUGUGAUGAAUAGACGCAUGGAUAACAUCUGAGAAAAUGUUCUUUCUCUGUAACGCAAA